AUGCUUUCUAUGCUUUCCUCUUGUUAAUCUGUCUUGUUACUGGGGCUUCGGCCGUGAACCUAGGAUGGUGAGGAAAAGAUAUUUUUUUCUCCCUUACGAUGGUAAGUUUUGUUAUUAUAUUUUACUCACCCCCACACAAAAACGUAGUGGUGCAGUCCCAUUUGCUGAUGGGAAACAGGCCGAGAGAGAGGAGAAAUGCGGCCAAGUUCAUGAGCUGCUCGGCGACCAGGUUAAAACCUGAGUCUGUGGUCGCCCAAGUCCUGAGGUCAUCCCACGCAGGCCCUCUCAGCCAGGCUGGGCUGAGGUCAGCGAGGCAUCACGUUCAACACAGGGAGAGUAAGAGGGAGAGUGAGGCAGAACGCACCACGUUCCCGGGUAGGAAGUUACAGGUGUCUCAGCCAUGAAUCUAGGGGUGAGAAAAGAAACCUCCCCUCACCUACAAGGUCAAAGCGCAGGUAUGGGUCCUGGCAGGACCCAUCAGCAGAAUCUGGCUGGAAAACUCUCACGCUAAAAACAGCCAGCUGUGAUAUGAUGAGCAGCCCUAUGGAGAGGGUGUGUGGGAAGAACCUGAAGUCUCCAGCCAGCAGCCACAUGAAUACAUCAUCUUGGAAGCAGAUCCUCCAGCCCCAGUCCAGCCUUCAGAUGACUGCAGCCCUGGUCAACAUCUCAACUGCAGUCUCAUGAGAGACUCCAGACCAGAACCACCCUGCUGAGCCUCUUUUGGAUUCUUGACCCUCAGAAACCCUGUGAGAUCAUAAAUGCCAGUCGUUUUAAGCUGCUAAGUUUUGGGGUCAUUUGUUAGCCAGCAAGAUAACAAAUACAGAUCUGCAUGAAACAUACAAGCAGAAGGAAGUAGGCAGUCAGGUCUACAAGUCUGAAAUUCAGGGAAGCAGUUCAGGCUGAAAUAUAAAUUUGAGAGUUAUUAACAUAUAGGUGAUAUUAAAAGCCAUCAGGAGCAAAGGUUUCUCUUUUUAUGGAAGCUUUCUCCACUUCCCUACUCCCUCUUCUGCGCUCUGAUGUUGGCUUGCCUUUGCUGUGAGGUUGCACGGCGAUGGCUUUGCUGUGCGCCCAUCUGACCAUUAGGUUCAGACAUAACUGAGUCUUCUUUGGAUCUUCUUCUAAACUUGGUACAAACUGGAAGUGCUUAAUAAAUGCUUUUGGGAUGCUAUGAAUGCACAGGGGAGCUUAGAGGGUGAAGCGGACACUGUAAGUGUUAUGACUCUAUCCCUUUUUGCACGGUUGGGCUAACUUUCAACUGCCAGCUUUGGCCUCUCACAGCCUUGGUACCUCCAACCCCUGCAUUGGGAGGCCCCAGAAAAGCCUAGAAUGACCAUCUCCCAGAAGCAGCCCUCAGCUGAAGAUCAUCAUGAGUUGACAUAUAAACAUCUCAGCUUACCCCUUAUGUAGGUUUGGGAGUGGAUGGUUCCAGAUCCUGUGUUUUGCGUUGUUUCUCAGUUUCCUCACAGGAUGCAGCCCUAGUGCCCACUUUGGCAGUGGGCUUAGAACAGCCCUUCCCUGGCUGCCUUCCCUUCUCUGGGUCAUUUCCCUGCUCUCCUGCUGGGGCUCCCCCCAUAGCCAGUACCUCUCAAAUAAACAAUUUGUGCUCAAAUCCGCUCAGGAACUGCUUCUUAGGGAACCAAACCGUGAUUAUGGAGAGGCAGAGCGUGGAUAUGUGGAG
rnacentral:lncRNA from 10 species